rfam:Candidatus Liptonbacteria bacterium RIFCSPLOWO2_01_FTLL_52_25 rifcsplowo2_01_scaffold_486, whole genome shotgun sequence.
AUUCUAGAGGAUUUGAUCCUGGUCCAGGAUGAACGCUGGCGGUGUGGAUAAGGCAUGCAAGUCAAACGCUCUUGUGCGUGGCACAAGUAACCCACCAAGCUACACUAAUACAAAACUAAUCGACACUAAGUAAAUUUUAAAUUAGUGUUGGUUGGUUUAAUGUCGGUGGCCAUUAGUGGAUUACUCGCGCUGCGCGCGAGAGAGUGGCGAACGAGUUAGUAACACCCUAGGAACCUACCCUUGAGUCAGACAUAGCUUGCCGAAAGGCAAGGUAAUAUCUGAUGGUCUAGUAAUCGAUUUAUGUUCACAAGGUAGGAAAUCCUAAUUUCUAAUUUCUAAUUUCUAAACACGAUUGUUUAGGAUUUAGUGCUUAGGAUUUAGAAUUUCCAUCUUUAAGCGAAUAUAAAUCGGUUACUAGUAAAGAUGUAAAUCGCUCAAAGAUGGCCUUAGGUCCGAUCAGCUAGUUGGUAGGGUAACGGCCUACCAAGGCAAUGACCGGUAGGGGAGGUGAGAGCCUGGCCCCCAACGACGAGACUGAGACACGGCUCGUACUCCUACGGGAGGCAGUAGCCGAGAAUAUUCGACAAUGGACGAAAGUCUGAUCGAGCGACACCGCGUGCGGGAUGAAGGCCUUCGGGUUGUAAACCGCGGUAGUAGGGGAGAAAGCGCACCUCACUAAGGUGAGCUGCUCGUGGAGCUUGAAUCGUAAAGCGUGGAUCGUCGGCAUUAUUCGCAGACGUUUCACGAUAUGCGUUUCACGAUUCACGGAGCACAUCGCUUUAGCGAGGUGCGCUGAUUGUACCUUACGGAAAGAGNNNNNNNNNNNNNNNNNNNNNNAAAGAGGUGGGUAACUACGUGCCAGCACCAGCGGUAAUACGUAGACCUCAAGCGUUAUCCGGAUUUAUUGGGCGUAAAGAGCAUGUAGGAUGUUUUGUGCGUCUUUGGUUAAAUCCCACCGCCUAACGGUGGAACUGCCCGAGAUACGACAAAACUAGAGGGGGUUAGAGGUGCAUGGAACGCACGGUGUAGGGGUGAAAUCCGUUGAUAUCGUGCGGAACACCAAAGGCGAAGGCAGUGCACUGGGACCUUCCUGACUCUGAGAUGCGAAAGCGUGGGGAGCAAAAAGGAUUAGAUACCCUUGUAGUCCACGCCCUAAACGAUGCCCGCUUGGUGUUUCGAGUAUCGACCCUCGGAGUGCCGUAGCUAACGCGUUAAGCGGGCCGCCUGGGAAGUACGAGCGCAAGCUUAAAACUCAAAGGAAUAGACGGGGACUCGCACAAGCGGUGGAACAUGAGGUUUAAUUCGAUGCUAAGCGAGGAACCUUACCAGGGCUAGAAAUGUGUGUUGACGGCGUCGGGAAACCGGUGCCUUCUCUCAAGGACAAUACACUCAGGUGCUGCAUGGUUGUCGUCAGCUCGUGCUUUGAAGUGUUCCCUUAAGUGGGGUAACGAGCGCAACCCCUGCUCCGUGUUACACGUAUCACGGGGGACUGCCCAGCCCAAAGUCCGGAGGACUUUGGGAUAUAUCGAAAUUUCGACAUUUCGAAAUCUCCCAAAAACCUGUGGUUUUUGGGCUGGGAGGAAGGAGGGGAUGACGUCAAAUCCGCAUGGCCCUUUGAUGCCCUGGGCGACACUCGUGUUACAAUGGCCACGACAAUGGGUUGCCAACCCGCAAGGGGGAGCUAAUCCCAUCAAACGUGGCCCCAGUUCGGAUUGGGGGCUGAAACCCGCCCCCAUGAAGCCGGAAUCGCUAGUAAUCGCGGAUCAGCCACGCCGCGGUGAAUACGUUCUCGAGUCCUGUACUCACUGCCCGUCAAGCCAAGGAAGCCGGUAAUAGAUGAAGCCUCUCUCUUUGCGCGAGAGCGCAAAGAGCGCGGAAGUACGCGGAACGCACGCGGACUAACGCGGAAGAAAUUCCGCGCAGGUCAGCGUUAAGUCUGCGUCAGUCAGCGCUUUGUUCGUUCGCGAACAAAGAGAGGGGUUAAUCUAAGAUCGGUGACAUGGGCUAAGUCGUAACAAGGCACGCGUAGCGGAAGCUGUGCGUGGAUCAAUUAAACU